GCUGGGAUGUGGUUCAGAACAGAGCACUUGCCUUGUUCUUACACAGCUCGGCUGCCUAUGCCUAUGUGCAGAGGAGACAGCGGGAAGCAGAAGGGAGAGCACUUGGAGGAGAAAAGGUACCUCAUAAAAUGGAGAGGAGGGCAGGAAGAUAUGAUUUGCUUUACAAGAGAGUUACCACUAUAAGCCUUUCUUAGUGGAAAUUGCUUUUGUAGGAAACUUGAUGUUCAGUGCGGCAUUUUGGAAAUAAGCUUGGCUGAUUCAGAAGAAAAUAAGACAUAAUCCCUGCAGCAAAGUCAUAAAAUCCUAUCAUAGAAUUGUGCAAGGCUGGAAGGCCUUGGCUUCACCCGCAGUUUCCAGCUGAGACCUGAGCAGCCCUCUUUCUUCCCUCUAGGUGACCUUGUGCUUUACCCUUAUUGAUGCAACACCUGUGGUGACAGAUGGUUUGGAGCCCUCGAUGUUCCAACUGCCACGUAGGGCAGUACGCGGCAUGCAAGGCUGGGCUACAGCAGCCAGCAGACUUCAGCCAUCAUUACCCUCUUUUGUCACCUGCACUGGAGGUGCUCCGAGACAGGGAAGCCCCCAUUCUGCCUUGUAUGGCUCCGGACAUCCAUUGUUAAUGCGCUGCGGAUAUAUGAGAUGACAACAGCUUUUAACUAUUUAGAAUAUAGAUUCGGUUCUGUCAGUCAAGCAGCUCCUCAGGAAGAAUAAAAAGAAUGACUCAAAUAUAGAAAUUCAAACCCUAGGGAGGAAGAGAGACUGCAAUAAACUCAGUAUUAGCUAUUUGC
ensembl:lncRNA